rnacentral:rRNA from 1 species
GGGGAAUAUUGCACAAUGGGCGCAAGCCUGAUGCAGCGACGCCGCGUGAGGGAUGACGGCCUUCGGGUUGUAAACCUCUUUCAGUAUGGAACAAGGAUCCUUCUUUUGGGGGGUUUGAGGGUACGUGCAGAAGAAGCGCCGGCUAACUACGUGCCAGCAGCCGCGGUAAUACGUAGGGCGCGAGCGUUGUCCGGAUUUAUUGGGCGUAAAGAGCUCGUAGGCGGUUUGUCGCGUCUGCCGUGAAAUUUCCUGGCUUAACUGGGAGCGUGCGGUGGGUACGGGCAGACUGGAGUGCGGUAGGGGAGACUGGAAUUCCUGGUGUAGCGGUGGAAUGCGCAGAUAUCAGGAGGAACACCGGUGGCGAAGGCGGGUCUCUGGGCCGUUACUGACGCUGAGGAGCGAAAGCAUGGGGAGCGAAC